UGGGGAAUAUUGCACAAUGGGCGCAAGCCUGAUGCAGCCAUGCCGCGUGUAUGAAGAAGGCCUUCGGGUUGUAAAGUACUUUCAGUCGGGAGGAAGGUGGUAAGGUUAAUAACCUUAUCAAUUGACGUUACCGACAGAAGAAGCACCGGCUAACUCCGUGCCAGCAGCCGCGGUAAUACGGAGGGUGCAAGCGUUAAUCGGAAUUACUGGGCGUAAAGCGCACGCAGGCGGUUGAUUGAGUCAGAUGUGAAAUCCCCGGGCUCAACCUGGGAACUGCAUCUGAUACUGGCAAGCUUGAGUCUCGUAGAGGGGGGUAGAAUUCCAGGUGUAGCGGUGAAAUGCGUAGAGAUCUGGAGGAAUACCGGUGGCGAAGGUGGCCCCCUGGACGAAGACUGACGCUCAGGUGCGAAAGCGUGGGGAGCAAACAGG
rnacentral:rRNA from 1 species